AUUUGUAGCCAUCCUCCCCAACUCAUCCCCUGGCCACCGCUGGCCCAGAAAUGACUUCUCUGAAGGAAUGCAAUGGCUGCUUUUACAGGCCCACGUGACUGGAUGGUGAGGUGCAGGUAUUUGGGUGAACAUUGCUGGUGGCACCUGGGAGGGCGUUUCCAGAUGACAUUAACAUGUGAUCGGUGGGAAAGCAUUUGCCUCCCCGGUGUGGGGGUCUGUGAGGGGCCUGGAAAGAGCAGCAGAUGGGAGGAUGGGGCCCUCCAGCCUGGCUGUGGGCUGCAGGAGCCAGAACGCCCACCUGCUGGCCUCGGCGCUCCCAGCCCCCAGGCCUGAGGACCCAGAGGGAAUCACCCCACCAGCUCUGCUGCCUGCAGACGGCAGGUCCUGGGACUUCUUGGCCCCUGUACGGCUCAUAAUAAAUAUUUCCUCACGAUGAAUUCCUCAUAGUAAACACACAGAAACCUGGACAUUAGGAGGGAACAGCUGAGCAACCCGACAUGAGGCGGAGGUCCUGGCACAGGAACACCUGGGGCUGGCCCUGAGGUUGGGGAAGGGAGCCAUGGCAUACAGGCCCAAGGAGUGGCCCUCUCAGGUAGGGCCGGGAGGCCAGGGCUCUGGGUGUUGCUCUGAACACAGUAGGAAGUCAUCACAGGGUUCCCAGCCCCACCGCACGCUGCCUGCGUCCUGGGAGCCUGGUGCCCCUGCCCCUGGGAUGACAGCAGGCCUUCCCCCUGGCUGCCAAAGCUGACUUUGGAAAAGCAAGGCGUUCUAAAACUACCUCCCCAAGGGCGGAGGGCUGCACACAGAGCACGUGGCUCCUUGCCUCAUCAUCCAGGCCCCACAGCACCCCGAGGUUUACAUGUCGCCAUGAGGAGGCAGAGCAGCGAGGGGACAGGGGCCUCACCUGGAGGGGCCCUCGGGAGUCCUGUGGCAUUGGAACUUGGAAGCCACAGAGCUGCCCUCCGGCCAGGCGAAUAGACAGGAGCUGUGGUCCAUCCAGACGAGGGAGGGUUACUCUGCGCUAACACGAAUGAGCUGGAGAGACACGGAGGAACUCAAAUGCCUAUCACCCAGCGAGAAAAGCCCAUCUGAAAACAGUAUGUCCUGUAUGACUCCAACCCUGACAUUCUGGAAGAGGCGACACUGGAGACAGAAAAGGGUGUGUGGUUAUCCGGGGCUGGGGAGGUGGGAGGGUGGGCGGAGCACAGGGGGUGUUUAGGGUCGUGGCACUACUCUGUGUGACAUUGUAACGCUGCGUUACACGUGCCCAAACCGUGGAAUGCCCAACAUGGAGAGCAACCCCUAAGGUGACCCGUGGGCUCCAGACUGUAGCGAUGUCAGUGCGGGCCCAUCGGGUUAACCGAUGUGCCGCCUGGUGCGGAUGCUGACAGUGGGGGGGCUGCACACAGGGGGGACGCCGAGGGAAAUCUCGGUACCUUGCACUCUUCGGCUGUGAACCCAGAACUGCCCUAAAGAAUAA